GACGAACGCUGGCGGCGUGCUUAACACAUGCAAGUCGAACGGAAAGGCCCUGCUUUUGUGGGGUGCUCGAGUGGCGAACGGGUGAGUAACACGUGAGUAACCUGCCCUUGACUUUGUGAUAACUUCAGGAAACUGGGGCUAAUACCGGAUAGGAGCUCCUGCUGCAUGGUGGGGGUUGGAAAGUUUCGGCGGUUGGGGAUGGACUCGCGGCUUAUCAGCUUGUUGGUGGGGUAGUGGCUUACCAAGGCUUUGACGGGUAGCCGGCCUGACAGGGUGACCGGCCACAUUGGGACAGGGAUGCGGGCAGACGGCUACGGGAGGCAGCAGGGGGGAAUAUUGCAGAAUGGGGGGAAGCCUGAUACAGCAACGCCGCGUGCGGGAUGACGGCCUUCGGGUUGUAAACAGCUUUCGCCUGUGACGAAGAGUGAGUGACGGUAAUGGGUAAAGAAGCACCGGCUAACUACGUG
rnacentral:rRNA from 1 species